rnacentral:rRNA from 1 species
AUUGAACGCUGGCGGCAGGCCUAACACAUGCAAGUCGAGCGGAGCGGCCGACGGGCGAGUAAUGCCUGGGAAUCUGCCUGGUAGUGUGGGCUAACGUCCGCCAACGGGCGCCACUACCUCAUUCUAUCAGAUGAGCUUAGGUCGGAUUAGCUAGUGGGUGGGGUACAGGCCUACCAAGGCGGCGAUCCGUAACUGGUCUGGGAGGUUGAGCAUUCAAACUGGAACUGGGACACGGUCCGGACUCCUACGGGAGGCAGAAGUGGGAAAUAUUGGACAAUGGGCGAAAGCCUGAUCCGGCAAUGCCGCGUGUGUGAGGAAGGUCGUCGGAUGGUAAAGCACUGUAAGAUGGAAGGCGUUACCAACAGAGUAAGCGCCGGCUAACUUCGUGCCAGCAGCCGCGGUAAUUC